rnacentral:rRNA from 1 species
UACGUAGGGGGCGAGCGUUGUCCGGAUUUAUUGGGCGUAAAGAGCGUGUAGGCGGUUCGGUAAGUCUGUCGUGAAAUCCUGAGGCUCAACCUCGGGCGUGCGAUGGAUACUGCCGGGGCUAGAGGGUGGUAGAGGCGAGUCGGAAUUCCCGGUGUAGCGGUGAAAUGCGCAGAUAUCGGGAGGAACACCAGUAGCGAAGGCGGCUCGCUGGGCCACACCUGACGCUGAGACGCGAAAGCUAGGGGAGCGAACAGG